rnacentral:tRNA from 1 species
UGGGGUAUAGCUCAGUAGUAUAGCACAUGCUUAACAUGCGUGAGGUCCUGGGUUGGAUCCCUAGUACCUCUG